GCCUCGGUGGUGUAAUGGAAAGCAAGGCAGACCGGAUAUCUUUAAGUGCGGGUACGAGUCCCGCCUGAGGUU
rfam:Dictyocaulus viviparus strain HannoverDv2000 D_viviparus-1.0_Cont109.6, whole genome shotgun sequence.